rnacentral:rRNA from 1 species
UACGUAGGAUGCAAGCGUUGUCCGGAAUUAUUGGGCGUAAAGAGCGCGCAGGCGGUAUGUCAAGUCAGAUGUGAAAGAGGCCGGCUUAACCGGCAAGGGUCAUUUGAAACUGUCAGACUAGAGUGCAGCAGAGGAUAGUGGAAUUCCCGGUGUAGUGGUGAAAUGCGUAGAUAUCGGGAGGAACACCAGUGGCGAAGGCGGCUCACUGGACCAUAACUGACGCUGAUGCGCGAAAGCUAGGGGAGCAAACAGG